UUUGGUGACUAUGGCAAAGAGGCUACACCUGUUCCCAUGCCGAACACAGAAGUUAAGCUCUUUAGCGCCGAUGGUAGUUGGACUUACGUUCCGCGAGAGUAGGACGUUGCCAAGC
rnacentral:rRNA from 1 species